CAUAGAAAAUUUCAUAUUUUUCUGGUGUUAUAUCAGCAAGUUUUAUGUCAAUUACAAACAAGCUGUAGUCUUUUGGAAAGAAGGAACAUCAAUUGAAAUAAUUGCCCUAUCAGACUGGCCUGUGCUCUGCAAGCCCAUCAGAAUCCGCAGAAAUGACUAUGGAAUGGGAGAAAAAGAAGAGCCCAUCAAACAGGCUUCCAUCUGCUUCCAUCCCCAAAGUUCAACUUUUAUUAUAAACUAUGCAACUGAAAA